AGUGACCGUCCAAGAAAGUCUAGAAAGGAAGUUGGGUAAACAUGGCGGCUCUAUCCCCGCAGGCCAGAAUAUCUGUAAGUAAAGAGGCUUCCCGGUUCUUUCCUUCAGGUUCCUGAAGGAGCGAACCGCAAGCUUCCUGUCCCCCAAACUUCCACCCAAUAAAGUAAA